UAACUUUCAACAACGGAUCUCUUGGCUCUCGCAUCGAUGAAGAACGCAGCGAAAUGCGAUAAGUAAUGUGAAUUGCAGAAUUCAGUGAAUCAUCGAAUCUUUGAACGCACCUUGCGCCCUUUGGCAUUCCGAAGGGCACGCCUGUUUGAGUGUCGUGA
rnacentral:rRNA from 1 species